rnacentral:rRNA from 1 species
AUCGAACGCUGGCGGCAGGCCUAACACAUGCAAGUUGAACGAGCGGCGGACGGGUGAGUAAUGUCUGGGAAAUUGCCUGACGGAGGGGGAUAACUAUUGGAAACGGUAGCUAAUACCGCAUACCAUCGGAUGUGUCCAGAUGGGAUUGGCUAGUAGGUGGGGUAACGGCUCACCUAGGCGACGAUCCCUAGCCGGCCUGCGAGGAUGACCAGCCACACUGGACCUGAGACGCGGUCCAGACUCCUAAGGGAGGCAGCAGUAGGGAAUAGUGCGCAAUGGGCGCAAGCCUGAUGCAGCCAUGCCGCACGUAUGAAGAAGGCCUUCGGGUUGUAAAGUGCUUUCAGCAGAGAAGCGUUACCCGCAGAAGAAGCACCGGCUAACUCCGUGCCAACAGCCGCGGUAAUUC